rnacentral:lncRNA from 1 species
AUCUGAUGGCACAACCAGAUCUCAGUUAUCCAAAUCCUGCACCUCUAAACAGAAAGAGCUGGAAGGGCCGGGAGAGGAGCCCUGGUGUGGAAAGACUGGAUGAUGUGGCAUCAGGUUUCCUGCACAUCAGGUGCCAGUCAGAGCCUCACCACGGGGGAAACAGCAGCUGAAGAUUUAGGUGAGGAAUAACAACAACGAAGAAAACAAAACAAGAGUGUGAGAAAACCGAGGAGGAGAAAAAAAAAAACAUUUCUCAGCUGCAAAAUACUCAGUAACACUCCCAGUCAGCAUUGGAGUGGUGCAUCCCAAAAUCCUGAGACACUGGGAAGUGAGAGCUUGGAGAAUCCCGAAUCCCUGACUGGGGUUUUGAUUUAUUCUUUGCAGCCAGACAGUGCUCUCUCCCUCUCUCCCUCUCCCUCUCUCCCUCCCUCCCCUCCCUCUCCGGUGUGCGGGCACAGCAGCCACCUCUCCCCCUCCACCAACCAAAGCGGGGGGGAAGGGGGGCUGCUCCUGCAAUAAAAGUGUGGGAAGCUGAUGGCUGCGGAGUAAUGCAGACAAAGCACGAGGGAGAGGGACCCAGAGGGCCGGAGCCCCCGGCGAUGUGACCCACCCCGCGUCCGCAGCCCCCGAGCCGCGUUUGUGCUGCCUCACGGAUAGCUCGGAUAUCGCUGGCUGCGAUAGCCAGCGGGCUCGGGUAUCGCUGGCUGCGAUAGCCAGCGGGCUCGGAGCCCCCCGGGGAUUUCUCCGGCGCUAAUUCGCUCCGCACAAAGCCCAGCCUGCCGGGCUGCUCUCCAGCAGCAACCUUUGCAUCCCUCCAGCUCCCCCCGAGCCGCAGGAGCUGCUCCCCUCCGGCUGCUCCCGAGCCAAUGUCACCUGUGCCCAAUGAAGCAGACCCCGAGGUGCCACGCAUGGAUCCCAGGAUUCUUAUUUUCCUCCUCUACGUGAUGAUCCUUCACGAGCUGGUGAGUGGCUGGAUGGAGUACCAGAAGCAGAUGGCCAAGCCAAAGAAGCAGGCGGGUCCAGUUUGGUCCUCGAGGUUCCCAAUCACCACACCUGGAAGAGAAAAAUGUGGGCAGCAGAGGAGCCACACUUCAUGCAUGAUAUUCAUCAAUGAGGCACAAACCUCCAGAGACUCCUGCAAUCAGAGUAUUUCAUGUUAAAUCACUACUGUGCAUGUCACUAUCUCUCCGUCUCCUCCCACUCUCUGGGCUGUGCCCACUACACCAAUCCCUUGUUUUCUGCCCAACAACAAAAAUGAGCUGGAGAAAUAAGGACAUAAACAAAAAAUGC